CAGCUCACCCACCCAGGGUCACGUGAUUUGCACAAAUUCUUUGCCCUCCCUGGACCUCAAUUAACCCAUCCACUGUCCCACACUGGGGAUAGGACGAGACAGUUUCAAAGACUGUCUUAGGCAAUGCUGAUGGCCUUGGUGCUUUAGGGGAAGGUGGUGAUGUCACAGAAGUAAAGAGUGACCCUGUCCGAGGCUGAGCUGAAACUCCAGACCGCUGGGGCAAGGGUGGGAGUGUGCUGGGUGGAAUGGUAUACAAUCCACCUCCCUCCGUAAAGGGUUUUGGGGAACAGAACAUCAAGGUGUUUCCCUGCCUAAAGUUCACUGUCUUCAAAUGACCAAGAGCAGCUACUAGCUCUGAGGCAAAAUCGAAGCGGCAUUAGUGCAAAUUUCCUGUACAGAUCUAGAAAGCAGAAGGCAGCAGAAAGAGGCCAGCUUCCAGGGUUGCUGGGUGGCUCAAGGAGUGUUUCAGGUUUGGGGAGACUGUUCUGGCUUGGUGUCUCCAGCUCUGGGGAACCCCUCAUGCCCACCUUGGAAGAAAUGGUGUAAAAGGACUUGACCUCCAACUCUGAUCUUGGACUUCGACGGCACCUACAGAGGGACAUGGAUCAUUCCAAGAGAAAGGAGGACCAGACCCGGUCCUGGCUUCAGGAUAGCCUCACUGGGUUGCAGAGACACAUGCCAGUGGACCCAGCUGCCUGCCCUUCCUCAGCACCCCCAGCACUUCCUACAAGCCUAGCUCUGCCCAUGCUGCUUCCUGAGCCCACAGAGCCCAUCCCAUGCCCUUCUAGAAGCCAACACUCCUCAUCUGUUCAGUGACUGGCUGACUAUCUGCCUUGGUCUGAGCUUAUUCCAGGACCCAACUCCCUUACUCCCAUGGAGAGGCCUGGCUGUAUGGACACUUCCAAAAGACCACCUUGGCCUUCGAUGCACUUGAAGCCAUGGAGAAAGAGAGAAGCUGCCAGUGAGCGGGCAGCACUGACCCCUGGCUGGCCUGGGAGGACACACUGUUGGCUUCCUGGCUGUGGCAAUAAUCGGUGCCUGGGUGCUUCCUCCCAAGCUGGCUGUCCCAAGCAGGAAGACCACAGGGCAGGUUCCUCCCAAGGGCCACACUGCCUGGCCAAUGAAGUAAUGCUGGCACAAUGCCCUUUCAGAGUUGCAAAAGAAUGAUAACCUUUGAUUGCCCAAGAUGGUCAACAGCCACUCCUGGGCUCUGCUACUGGCAAAAUAUGAGCAAUUCAUUUAUUCAACAAGAAGUUUAUUGAGCACCUAUUAUUUCCAGGCACUUUCCAAAUGGUACAAAGGCAAAAUCCCUGCUCUCAAGGAGCUUCCAUUCUCUUCAGAAGGAGACAAGCAACACAGAAUAUAAUACAAAAAAGUAUAGUAUAGAAGACUGCAAUAAAUUGCACGGAUGAAAAAAUAAAUCAAAAAGAGCACAAUGUUCCUCACCUCCACCGCAGCUCAAAAAGAAGGUGACCUUUGAGACCUGAAGGAGGUGAUGGAGGGAGCCAUGAUAAUACCUAGGGGAAGAGCAUUCCAGCAAAGGACACAGCACAGGCAAAGGUCCUGAGGCAGGAUGCAUCUGACACUUUUGGGGACAGGCAGGAGGGUAGUGUGGUUGGAGGUGGAAGGACAGAAGCUAGCCAUUGCCCUUGGCCCUGGGCACCACCCUGUGAAACGAAGCCUCUUCCCUCAUUGUACAGAUUAUAAAAUUGAGGUCCCGAAAGGUCACACAGGCUACACAUGGCAGAUUCAAGCCAGACUUAUUCAAGCAUGAAGCCCAAGUUCUCCACACUCUGCUUCACUCCCAGCCUGGUCAGGAUCCCAGCGAGGAGAUCCAGCCACAGACCUCAAGGGAGGGGAGCAAAGUCAGGACACCCGC
rnacentral:lncRNA from 1 species